GCAUUGCAAAUACAGUAAUUUACAUUUAAUGCGACAUUUUUUUAAUUGGACAUACCUGUAAUGCGACACGUUUAAUUGGACAUGUUUACAUCUAAUUGGACAGAGGUGAAUCCGCACUGACAGUGGUUAGUGUCGACGUCUGGUGGCGACUUUCAAUUUGGGACAAAACUCGAUAGUGUAAUCUAUAUCAGAUUAGAAGGCACGAAGCCAGUUUUGAAAUAAUAAAAUUUGAAUGAAAAUUUGUACACCAUGUUAAUUAAUUACUUGAAACACGUACUUUUGAUUCUUAUUUAAUCGAUUGUCUAUACACUUCUGAUAUUUUGACUGAAGCCUUUCAUUAUAUAUAAUAUAAAAUUGUUCUCAAACACGAUUUUCGUAUGAGGUUUUUUACCCCAUGUAAAAAAAGUGUAUUUCAUUUAAAUAGAAUACUAAUUUGAUACGAAUAAGUUAAUUUUUAUUCAUAAUUUUAAUUUUGAAAACGUGUUCAUUCCGCCUGAAAAUUAAUUACUAUCUUGGACGCUCCCAAAAUCAUGAAACGAAGCUCAGUGCCGUCAACGCGAAUAUCAACAAACACAGCACAAACGAAAAACAGAAUGUGAAAAACAAGUUAGAACCAGACAAGAAAAACAUCAAAAUGGACUCAGAAUAACAUUUUGAUAAAUCGUGGUGAGAGUGUUCUACAAGUGGCUGACGAAACGGGCCUUCCACGGUCGACAGUUUACGGAAUCGAGAAGCAAGAAAUAGCAUUGCGGUAUUGCAAGGCGUUGGUCAACUAAACUAUCCCCUGAUUUCGAGAUAAUAAUAGGAAAUAUAAAGGUAGAGAAACCAGAUGCCGAAAUCGACACAACUAUCGUUAAGGAAGAAUAUGAUGUGAAACUUAAAAAUACGAAUGCAAUCACUCAGCCCAUGGCGCCGAAGAAAUUAACCAAGAACAUUCAUAAACUUAUCAAAAAAGCAUCAAAACACAAAUAUUAUUUACGAUAUGGAUUAAAGGAUGUUCAAGUGCGUCCGCGGAAUAAUGAAACAGGGAAAGCAAUGUGUAUAUUGUGUGUUGAAAUGGAGGUUGCAAUUUAUAAAAAAGAUUGUCAUUUUCGCUGCAGAAAAGUGGAAAUCAUGUGUCACUUGCCAUCUGUUUGUGAGAAACGCAAUAUCCCAUAUUGCUAUACGCCGAGUCGGAAGACUUGGGAGCAGCAGUGGGUGUGAAAUGAGGCACAGUCGCAAUACUAAUCCGAGAGCAGCCCGAUUAUCAGGAACAGUUCGAUAAACUAAAAGUGAAGAAUCAAUGCCGUCAACACGAAUAUACCAUUGUGCGAGUUUUUACAACACGAUAAAUUUUUAGGAGUAUUUUCAACCAUUUUUCCAAUCAAAACAAUUUAUGUUGUUACAAUCAAUCAUUUUGUAUU